rnacentral:rRNA from 1 species
UACGGAGGGUGCAAGCGUUAAUCGGAAUUACUGGGCGUAAAGCGCGUGUAGGCGGUUUGGUAAGUCGGGUGUGAAAGACCGGAGCUCAACUCCGGAACUGCAUUCGAUACUGGCAGGCUAGAGUCCCGGAGAGGGUGGUGGAAUUCCCGGUGUAGAGGUGAAAUUCGUAGAGAUCGGGAGGAACACCAGCGGCGAAGGCGGCCACCUGGACGGUGACUGACGCUGAGACGCGAAAGCGUGGGGAGCAAACAGG